rnacentral:rRNA from 1 species
UCGAGCGACUGAUUAGAAGCUUGCUUCUAUGACGUUAGCGGCGGACGGGUGAGUAACACGUGGGCAACCUGCCUGUAAGACUGGGAUAACUUCGGGAAACCGAAGCUAAUACCGGAUAGGAUCUUCUCCUUCAUGGGAGAUGAUUGAAAGAUGGUUUCGGCUAUCACUUACAGAUGGGCCCGCGGUGCAUUAGCUAGUUGGUGAGGUAACGGCUCACCAAGGCAACGAUGCAUAGCCGACCUGAGAGGGUGAUCGGCCACACUGGGACUGAGACACGGCCCAGACUCCUACGGGAGGCAGCAGUAGGGAAUCUUCCGCAAUGGACGAAAGUCUGACGGAGCAACGCCGCGUGAGUGAUGAAGGCUUUCGGGUCGUAAAACUCUGUUGUUAGGGAAGAACAAGUACGAGAGUAACUGCUCGUACCUUGACGGUACCCAACCAGAAAGCCACGGCUAACUACGUGCCAGCAGCCGCGGUAAUACGUAGGUGGCAAGCGUUA